rnacentral:rRNA from 1 species
UACGGAGGAUGCAAGCGUUAUCCGGAAUGAUUGGGCGUAAAGCGUCCGCAGGUGGCUGUGUAAGUCUGCUGUUAAAGAGUCUAGCUCAACUAGAUACAAGCAGUGGAAACUACACGGCUAGAGUACGUUCGGGGCAGAGGGAAUUCCUGGUGUAGCGGUGAAAUGCGUAGAGAUCAGGAAGAACACCGGUGGCGAAGGCGCUCUGCUAGGCCGUAACUGACACUGAGGGACGAAAGCUAGGGGAGCGAACGGG